CCGUUCAUUCAACUCGCCUGCCGCUCCUGUCCUCGGGGUUUUCUUCCUGGAAGAUGUCGUGAGAGAGCUGGAGCGAAGGGGCGCGGAAAAAGAAAGAGGAGGAGACACCCACCUUUAGUUUCAGACGAAGGCCUCGGGCUUGCUACCGUUGUUGAUCUGGACGUAGAUCUUGGGAUCCUCGUCUUGCUCGUCUUUGAGGCGCUGGAGGUAACGGCUGUGGCACAGCAGGUAGAGGGGCAGGCAGAAUCCCAGCAUGCUCACCACCAACAGGCCCACGUUCACCUGAGGGUCAACCGACAUUCACGACAGAGGGUCUCCUUCCAGGGGUCCCACCAUGGCCAUGAAGAGAGGCUGCUGCAGCAGGGCGAACAGAGCGCUGAUCAGAGACUGCAUCCCUGUCAGGCUGCCAAACUGAGAGGACGGGUACCUGCGGGGGACAAACAG